rnacentral:rRNA from 1 species
UACGUAGGGUGCAAGCGUUGUCCGGAAUCAUUGGGCGUAAAGAGCGUGUAGGCGGUCCGGUAAGUCCGCUGUGAAAGUCGGGGGCUCAACCCUCGAAUGCCGGUGGAUACUGUCGGGCUAGAGUGCGGAAGAGGCGAGUGGAAUUCCUGGUGUAGCGGUGAAAUGCGCAGAUAUCAGGAGGAACACCGAUGGCGAAGGCAGGUCUCUGGGCAUUAACUGACGCUGAGGAGCGAAAGCAUGGGGAGCGAACAGG